UUGAGAGAGAAUGUACUCCUGGUGAAGAUGCUGUGAAGAUUAUUGAAAUGACAACAAAGGAUUUGGAAUAUUGCGUGAACUAAGUUGAUAAAACAGUGGCAGGGUUUGAGAGGAUGGACUCUAAUUUCGAAAGAAAUUCUACUGUGGAUAAAAACUAUCAAACAGCAUCGAACGCUACAAAGAAAUCAUUUGUGAAGGGAAGAGUCAGUCAAUGCGGCGUACCUCAUUUUGUUAUUUUUAAGAAAUUGCCACAGCCACCCCAGCCUUCAGCAACCAUCACCCUGGUCAGUCAGCAGCCGUCAACAUCAAGAUUUGGAAGCUGAGAGAUGAGAGGUCAUGCCAACCAACAAAUAGUUAUUGAACAUCUUGAAUGGAUCUAGGACAGCCCUCAGUGCUAUAGGGAACAUAAGAAAUGUUGAAAAUCUGGGAGGUUCUUAUCCUGGUUUCACCUGGGAUCAUUCAAUAUACAAUUAUCUGAAGGUUCUACUGGGGUUGGGGGGUCCAAGUUGUCUUCACUCUGAUGUGUGGCAGUGGGUGCUGGAUGUCAGCUGAGAUGCCUCAGUUCUCCUCCACAUGAUCUCUCACCUUCUGUAUGGCUGGUGCUGAAGAUAGAUGAGUUCUAGAAAAUGACAGGUGGUUACUUCAGUCACAACUGCUGUUUCAAAUGUGAUCUACUUACUGGAGCAAAU